rnacentral:rRNA from 1 species
ACUCCUACGGGAGGCAGCAGUGGGGAAUAUUGCACAAUGGGGGGAAACCCUGAUGCAGCCAUGCCGCGUGUGUGAAGAAGGCCUUCGGGUUGUAAAGCACUUUCAGUAGGGAGGAAGGUAGUGUAGUUAACACCUGCACUAUUUGACGUUACCUACAGAAGAAGCACCGGCUAACUCCGUGCCAGCAGCCGCGGUAAUACGGAGGGUGCGAGCGUUAAUCGGAAUUACUGGGCGUAAAGCGCAUGCAGGCGGCCUGUUAAGUCAGAUGUGAAAGCCCGGGGGCUUAACCUCGGAAUUGCAUUUGAAACUGGCAGGCUAGAGUACUUGUAGAGGGGGGUAGGAAUUUCAGGUGUAGCGGUGAAAUAGCGUAGAGAUACUGAAGGAAUACCAGUGGCGAAGGCGGCCCCCUAGGACAAAGACUGACGACUCAGAUGCGAAAGCGUGGGGAGCAAACAGGAUUAGAUACCCUGGUAGGAC